AGCAGCAACAACAGGUAUGCCAUUCCUCAUCGCGUAAAAUGCCUCAAGUUGCGUGGUGGCAAAUGGCCCAUUGUCAUUCCAGGCUGCAAUUAUAGCACCUUUAUUCCCCUUCGCGCCGGGCUUAACCUGUUCCGUCACGUUUACUGGAUUGAAAAGUGAUGGCUCCCAUUGCCAGUCUGGUUUGUUGGCGAAGUUCAAAGUCCGUGUGUUAUUAAAAAAUUGUGGGUAGGUUGCCGGGAAGAUAGGGGUGUGGUCACUCUUCAAGGACAUGUAUCCCCACCAGUCUUCGGAGUUUAUGUAUCGAUAUCCAUCUUUAUUCAAAAGGAUGGGGUCGGAUUGGCCAUACUGCCAAUGCUGAAUAAUAAUAUCUUUAGAGAUAGUCAUGUCAUCGGAAGGCUCACGUCCGCAAGAGUAGGAUCAUACUCAUCAGCACCGAUAUGCACUUCCUUCGUCUGGAACCAUGGGAGGAAUUCUUCCCAGAUAGAUUUAACGAGUGGGAUUGAAUCGGGAUUAGUUAGAUCCAACAAGUCCUUCUUCUUUAAUGCAAGCUCUGGUUUCCAUUUGGUGAGGAAGAGACAGUGUCCCGGUGCUUCGAUCUCUGGAAUGAUUGUGACGCCACGACGAGCACAGUGCUGCUGGAGGUCUUCGAAAUCCGCUCGAGAAAGAGUUUCAUUCGCGCGCUGAAUGACGCCUUUCAAUUCCUCGUUCUCAGGAUGUAGUGAGAACUGGGAGUAUACUUCAUACCACGUAUCAUUGAGCCCUCGGUUUAGUGGAUAGUUAUCACUGCUGUGGUAUUGGAAUUCAGAUAUCUUGAAGAAUGAUGCGUAUGUGCAAAGUUCCUUCAGGAAAGAUGGUGUGUACCACUUCCGUCCGGCAUCGAGCAGGUACCCACGACUUGCAUAAGCUGGGGCAUCGACAAUCCGGCCAGCCGGGAUCUCCUUUUCGCCAUGUACAAGCAAUAGUUGUAAGAGUGUAUGGGUGCCCCAGUACAUUCCACGGGCGCCAGUCCCACCAACAAAGACCUGACCACUCUUGAUUUCCAGCUCAUAACCCUCCUCCGACUUAGUACCGUCCUCGUAAGUCAAUGAAUCAGCAUCUUGUCUGAACCCUCCUAGAAUAAUGCCUUUGGCAUCGCUAGGCACCUCUUUUAUGCGCUGAAGGGUCCAUUUUUCGCCAGUAGCUUGCUCC
rnacentral:sRNA from 1 species